GAGUUUUGCCUGCAGCAGUCACAUAGUUGAAAAAUAUAGAUCCAUGUGACUGCUAAGAGACCACUGAGAAGCCAAAUUUCAAGAGGUUCUUUCUAAAACGUCACCAGGAUGUCAUCAUCAACUGCUGUUAUGUAUAAAACGACAAGAUGCAACAAGAGGGUUCCUUUAAAGCAUAAAGGUUUUGUGUAAAUUA